rnacentral:rRNA from 1 species
UGGGGAAUAUUGCACAAUGGGCGCAAGCCUGAUGCAGCCAUGCCGCGUGUAUGAAGAAGGCCUUCGGGUUGUAAAGUACUUUCAGCGGGGAGGAAGGGAGUAAAGUUAAUACCUUUGCUCAUUGACGUUACCCGCAGAAGAAGCACCGGCUAACUCCGUGCCAGCAGCCGCGGUAAUACGGAGGGUGCAAGCGUUAAUCGGAAUUACUGGGCGUAAAGCGCACGCAGGCGGUUUGUUAAGUCAGAUGUGAAAUCCUCGGGCUCAACCUGGGAACUGCAUCUGAUACUGGCAAGCUUGAGUCUCGUAGAGGGGGGUAGAAUUCCAGGUGUAGCGGUGAAAUGCGUAGAGAUCUGGAGGAAUACCGGUGGCGAAGGCGGCCCCCUGGACGAAGACUGACGCUCAGGUGCGAAAGCGUGGGGAGCAAACAUG